UACGUAGGUGGCAAGCGUUGUCCGGAUUUACUGGGCGUAAAGAGCGCGCAGGCGGUCGUUCAAGUCGCGUGUGAAAGCCCCCGGCUCAACUGGGGAGGGUCACGCGAUACUGAUCGACUCGAAGGCAGGAGAGGGUAGUGGAAUUCCCGGUGUAGUGGUGAAAUGCGUAGAGAUUGGGAAGAACAUCGGUGGCGAAAGCGCUCUACUGGACCUCAUCUGACACUCAGGGACGAAAGCUAGGGGAGCGAAUGGG
rnacentral:rRNA from 1 species